CCUACGGGAGGCAGCAGUCGAGAAUAAUUCACAAUGGGCGAAAGCCUGAUGGUGCGACGCCGCGUGGGGGAAGGAAGGUCUUCGGAUUGUAAACCCCUGUCGUGUGGGAGCAAAUUAAAAAGAUAGUACCACAAGAGGAAGAGACGGCUAACUCUGUGCCAGCAGCCGCGGUAAUACAGAGGUCUCAAGCGUUGUUCGGAAUCACUGGGCGUAAAGCGUGCGGAGGCUGUUUCGUAAGUCGUGUGUGAAAGGCGCGGGCUCAACCCGCGGACGGCAGAUGAUACUGGGAGACUAGAGUAAGGGAGGGGGAAGCGGAAUUCGCGGCGUAGCAGUGAAAUGCGUAGAUAUCGAGAAGAACAC
rnacentral:rRNA from 1 species